GUGCAUAGAGUGAUAGUUCAUGGUACUUCUUUUAUAAGGUAUUUUAAGUAUCCGAUAGGUUCUUUGCCUGAGAGUGCUAUUGAAGCCAGAAAUAAGGAAAACAAAACUGCUCGAAUUGGUCAUGCUCGUUUAACCUCUUUUGCAGAAAACACUGGGGAUACAGCUAAUUAUUUGUUUAUGACAUCUGAUAUGUACCUCUUUUGCAAAAAAAAUAAAAUGGAUAAAAAAAGAGUGAAAACAAAAUAGUUUAAGAAAGCAAAAUGACAGUUCUUCUGAUAACUGCUUAAAAUAAAGGAAGUAAGACCAUGAAGAAUCAUACUGAUGAGCUGUUCUGCGUUGAAUUUUUAAAAAACGGCUAUUUUCAUAGCCACAA